AUCGUAAAGAAAAAUUAAUUUUGAUCUAGCACUUUUUUGCAUCAUCUGCGCAGCCUUGCCGGGCACUUUGCAUUCCACCUGGAGUGGUCCAGCUGUACUCAAGGAAUAAUUCCGGCAUAUUUCAAGUAUGCCUGUGAAAUAAUUGUCGUAAUGACAAAUUAAUAAAUAAACAGCAUAUAGCAAUAGGGCUUUCCAAAUCUAAAUAUAUAGGGGAUAAGCAGGAAUCGAAGCGUUCAAGGAAUGGAAAUUUAUCACAGAUGGAUGCAAGUCAUACGUUUUCUAAUCUUUUCAAAAGAAAACUUAAAAGUCAAUGCUCGUAGAUUGCAAAAGAAUAUAUAAUGUAUUAAAUAUAUUA